GACGAACGCUGGCGGCGUGCUUAACACAUGCAAGUCGAACGGAAAGGCCCUGCUUUUGUGGGGUGCUCGAGUGGCGAACGGGUGAGUAACACGUGAGUAACCUGCCCUUGACUUUGGGAUAACUUCAGGAAACUGGGGCUAAUACCGGAUAGGAGCUCCUGCUGCAUGGUGGGGGUUGGAAAGUUUCGGCGGUUGGGGAUGGACUCGCGGCUUAUCAGCUUGUUGGUGGGGUAGUGGCUUACCAAGGCUUUGACGGGUAGCCGGCCUGAGAGGGUGACCGGCCACAUGGGGACUGAGGUACGGCCCAGACUCCAAUGGGGGGCAGCAGUGGGAAAUAUUGCACAGUGGGCGGGAGCCUGAUACAGCAGCGCCGCGUGCGGGAUGACGGCCUUCGGGUUGUAAACCGCUUUCGCCUAUGACGAAGCGUGAGUGACGGUAAUGGGUAAAGAAGCACCGGCUAACUACGUG
rnacentral:rRNA from 1 species